AGCUUCAUACACUUCUGGUCAGAUGCUCUUUCCCUGAAGAAGAAAAGGAUAUUUAUAGCCAGGAAUGGAUGUCCCAUUGUCUUCCCCCAGCACAUCAGACUGGAGCCAUGAGGGAGCACAGGGCAGGUGAUGAAGGAAGGGCGAUGAUGCCACAUCGUGAUUCCCACCAGAAACAUCCAGCCUCAGGGACGUGGAGGGCACCACCAGCCCUUGGGGCUGAGGCAGUGGCCUCGAGAGGGGGAAUAAAAUGCUCAGCUGUCAGCUACCUGAAAGGACAGUGCAAGACCGAGGCAAGGACCAGCUGCUCCUUUGGCUCCGUGUGCAGGUGCCCACACAGCCAGGGUGCUCUACACUUGAUGCAUCAUCUUUUGACAGACACAGGGCAAACUGUGCUCCUCCCUUCUGGCCUGGGUUGCAAUGAUGGAUUAAGUAGGGCAGAUAGCAGGAGCCCUGGUGCAAACAACACAUUUGAAGUGAACCCAUGGACGAGUUUGCUUGUAUGUAGAAGAGAUUGCAGAUGACAGGAAUUCUCCACCCAGGACCUCUGAACUGAGCAAUGACAAGCUGCCCUGUUCUGCCCUGUGAAGGUUUGGCUGUUGGAGGAUGCAUUUUGUGUGGUCCGUGGGGCAAAAAAAAGAGAAGAAGAGCUGCAAAGCUUUGCAGAUGAAGAGGACCGUGAUGAGCAAUUGGGUUGUUCCAGUGAGGGCAGCAACAGCAGGGGAGCAGCAGUUGGUGGGGAUGGUCUGGAGUGUGUCUGCAGAGCUGUGGAACAGAGGAGAAAGUGUGUCUUGGAGCUGGGUGUCUCCUUGAGAGUGAGCAGCACAGCAGCAAGAGGAUUG